rnacentral:rRNA from 1 species
AUUGAACGCUGGCGGCAGGCCUAACACAUGCAAGUCGAGCGGAUGAAGGGAGCUUGCUCCUGGAUUCAGCGGCGGACGGGUGAGUAAUGCCUAGGAAUCUGCCUGGUAGUGGGUGAUAACGUCCGGAAACGGGCGCUUAUACCGCAUACGUCCUGUGGGAGAAAGUGGGGGUUCUUCGGACCUCACGCUAUCAGAUGAGCCUAGGUCGGAUUAGCUAGUUGGUGGGGUAAUGGCCUACCAAGGCGACGAUCCGUAACUGGUCUGAGAGGAUGAUCAGUCACACUGGAACUGAGACACGGACAAGAGUCCUACGGGAGGCAGCAGUGGGGAAUAUUGGACAAUGGGCGAAAGCAUGAUACAGCAAUGCCGCGUGUGUGAAGAAGGACUUCGGAGUGUAAAGCACUUUAAGUUGGGAGGAAGGGAAGUAAGUUAAUACCUAGCUGUAUUGACGUUACCAACAGAAUAAGCACCGGCUAACUACGUG